rnacentral:lncRNA from 1 species
AAGGGACAGAAAUCGUGCAUUCGGGGAGCUCGGAUUUUAAGGCAGUAGCUUGUCGAUGCUCCCAGCUGAAUAAAGCCCUUCCUUCUACAACUCUGAGAGUUGUCUGAGAGGUUUUGUCUGUGGCUCAUCCUGCUCCAUUUCUUGGUUCCCUAACCGGGAAGCGAGAUGACUGAUGGUCGGCCAAGGCAGCCUCUUAGGCGGCUUAAGCCUGCCCUGUGGAGCAUCCCUGCAGGGGACUCUGGCCAGCCUGAGUGACGCAAUCCAAAGAGCGCUCCAGGGUACCUGAUGGAGAGAGCUGCAAGAUGACCACCUUGCAAGGUUCAACGCGCUGUGUGGGGGUUGCAACUGUAAUCAGAACAUGACAUGGUUCUGCACAAGUGAACCCAUAGUCUACUAGUGAAAUAGACUAACUAAUAUGUUAAGAAGCAUAAUGAGAUAUUCUAUAAUUGAUAUCUAGAAAAAGUUAUAUGGCACCCAAAAAAGAGAUAACUAUUUACCUGAGUGUUUUCAGGGUUAGCCUUUGAAUGAAGGAAUGAGUUGAAACAAUAAUGGAAAGAUAGUAGGUAUAAACUAAGCUAUAUUGCUAAUUAAGUUAAAUAUAGAUAAACUGAAUGCAUGAAUUGUCAGCAAUUACAAGACUGGAUAAAACAGUAAUCUCCCAGCAACAAGCAAGAGAGUCCUAUAGAAGACCUGACAACAAUGAUGAAUGAGGACAGAGACAGAAAACACUGUGAUCCUUGAUGUUAUCAUUGAAUCACUUGAAUCCUGCUUUGACAUUGACUUCCAAGUAUGUGAUACAAUUAACUGCCUUAAUGGUUUAAGGCACUUGGAAGGGCUUUUGGUGCUCUUGCAAUUGAAACCAUUACAACAUAACACACAUAGAAAGAGUAUCCGUUAAAAAUUUUUUGAAAGAAAAGAAGAAUGAAGGAAGGAAGAAAGGAAGGAAGGAGAGAAGGAAGAAAAGAAAGAAAGGAAGGAAGAAAAGAAGUCUCAAGAACUCAGAUGUCUUGAUUUAUACUAGUUGAAAAAUGGCCAAACAACUUAUCUGCACCAUGAAUUACGUAUAUAUAUAUAUAUAUAUAUAUAUAUAUAUAUAUAUAUAUAUAUAUAUGUAAUUAUCUAUAUAUAUGAUUUUUGUACUUCUUAAACUCAGUUUAAAAUUAUAUAUAUAAUUAUAUAUAUAUAUAUAUAAUUUUAAACUGAAUUCAAGAAGUACAAAAGUACAAAAUCCCUUUCAUUGUACAUUUUUUAAAUAGAUGUACCUUUAAAGUAGAGUGAUAUUUUCAGAGUAAUCAAUAUAAUCUUGGGUUUAGAGACUUCAUGUUGGGUGAAUAUAUUCUUAUCUGAUAAGAAAGAUGAAAUAAUAACACAUUCUUUGAAUGUUUCCAGAUGAUAACAUUUGUAAUAUGAGGCCAAAUAAUUUGGUUUGUUAUCGUCUUACACAGGUUAUUCAAAGCAGCAGGAUUAGAGGAAGCAGAGAACUAACUAGUUUUUAAUUUGAAUACAUCAUCGAAGCACCCCAAUUAGCCACCUGCAUUCCUGCAGUAUUUUUUCAGCAUGUAAUCAAAAGAAUAUUAUUUACUUUGAUGAUUAAUAAAAAUGGUCUGCCAAGUGUUUGCUCUUUAAUGGGAAAAUAAUGGGCAACAUUAAGGAAAAGAAACAGUAUCCAUAUGCAUGAUCUUUGAGACAUUUCCAUUCAUUCAGAAGCUGACUCUGUCACUGUAAAUGGCAAACAAUCAGGAAAUGAAAAUAAAAUUCUUCUACAAAUUAU